rnacentral:rRNA from 1 species
UGGCUCAGGACGAACGCUGGCGGCGUGCCUAAUACAUGCAAGUCGAGCGGAUUUGAUCAGAGCUUGCUCUGGUCAAGUUAGCGGCGGACGGGUGAGUAACACGUGGGCAACCUGCCCUGCAGAUUGGGAUAACUCCGGGAAACCGGGGCUAAUACCGAAUAAUAUAGAAGGCUUCAUGGCUUUCUUUUGAAAGGCGGCUUCGGCUGUCACUGCAGGAUGGGCCCGCGGCGCAUUAGCUAGUUGGUGAGGUAACGGCUCACCAAGGCGACGAUGCGUAGCCGACCUGAGAGGGUGAUCGGCCACACUGGGACUGAGACACGGCCCAGACUCCUACGGGAGGCAGCAGUAGGGAAUCUUCCGCAAUGGACGAAAGUCUGACGGAGCAACGCCGCGUGAGUGAAGAAGGUUUUCGGAUCGUAAAACUCUGUUGUCAGGGAAGAACAAGUAUGGGAGUAACUGCCCGUACCUUGACGGUCCCUGGCCAGAAAGCCACGGCUAACUACGUGCCAGCAGCCGCGGUAAUACGUAGGUGGCAAGCGUUGUCCGGAAUUAUUGGGCGUAAAGCGCGCGCAGGCGGCCU